AAGUCGUAACAAGGUUUCCGUAGGUGAACCUGCGGAAGGAUCAUUAACACGUAUCCAACGUUAAACCCCCCGUGCACCUUCACACGACGUCAGCAAUCCUGGUAAAUCAGUGGCGAAAGUAGUCUUUGAUUCAGGACCUCUGAAGUUGUAAGCAGGCAGUUUGAGCCUUCUAUCGCCAGUCUGGAGUCCUGGCCGGGCGGAUGAAAGUGUCGCUAGACGGUUUCUAGGGUAAGGCUUCUCCAUCGCCGGUGUAUCACACGCCGAAGCGGACAGACUGCAGGGUGUAGUGCCCCUUUACGACGACCAAGUUAAAUUAGGCCUCUACCACAUAGCAAGUGCGCCGUGGUAGAGGAAAACGUACAACUGUUAACAAUGGAUAUCUUGGUUCUC
rnacentral:misc_RNA from 1 species